rnacentral:rRNA from 1 species
AUUGAACGCUGGCGGCAGGCUUAACACAUGCAAGUCGAACGAGUGGCGGACGGGUGAGUAAUGCUUGGGAAUCUGGCUUAUGGAGGGGGCUCACGACGGGAAACUGUCGCUAAUACCGCGUACCAUCGGAUGAGCCCACGUGGGAUUAGGUAGUUGGUGGGGUAAUGGCCUACCAAGCCGACGAUCUCUAGGUGGUCUGAGAGGAUGAACCGCCAAACUGGGGAGGGGGAACGGGCCCGACCCCUGCGGGAGGGAGGAGUGGGGAAAUUUGCGGAAUGGGGGCAAACUGGAGCCGCCAAGCCGGGGGAAUGAAGAAGGCCGUCGGGGUGGUAAAGUCCUUCGGUGAAGAGGCGUUAAUCACAGAAGAAGCACCGGCUAACUCCGUGCCAGCAGCCGCGGUAAUUC